rnacentral:rRNA from 1 species
AGAACGAACGCUGGCGGCAUGCCUAAUACAUGCAAGUCGAACGAACUCUUCGGAGUUAGUGGCGCACGGGUGCGUAACGCGUGGGAAUCUGCCCUUGGGUUCGGAAUAACAGUUGGAAACGACUGCUAAUACCGGAUGAUGACGAAAGUCCAAAGAUUUAUCGCCCAGGGAUGAGCCCGCGUAGGAUUAGCUAGUUGGUGAGGUAAAGGCUCACCAAGGCGACGAUCCUUAGCCGGUCUGAGAGGAUGAUCAGCCACACUGGGACUGAGACACGGCCCAGACUCUACGGGAGCAGCAGUAGGAAUAUUGGACAAUGGGCGAAAGCCUGA